UACGAAGGGGGCUAGCGUUGUUCGGAAUCACUGGGCGUAAAGCGCACGUAGGCGGAUUGUUAAGUUAGGGGUGAAAUCCCGGGGCUCAACCUCGGAACGGCCUCUGAUACUGGCAGUCUUGAGUUCGGGAGAGGAGUGUGGAACUCCGAGUGUAGAGGUGAAAUUCGUAGAUAUUCGGAAGAACACCAGAGGCGAAGGCGGCACUCUGGCCCGAUACUGACGCUGAGGUGCGAAAGCGUGGGGAGCAAACAGGAUUAGAUAC
rnacentral:rRNA from 1 species